GACAGAGGGGGCAAGCGUUGCUCGGAAUCACUGGGCGUAAAGGGCGCGUAGGCGGGAUGGCAAGUCGGUCGUGAAAUCCUUCGGCUCAACCGAAGAACGUCGGCCGAUACUGCCGUUCUUGAGGGAUGCAGAGGAGAUUGGAAUUCCCGGUGUAGCGGUGAAAUGUGUAGAGAUCGGGAGGAACACCGGUGGCGAAGGCGGGUCUCUGGACAGUUCCUGACGCUGAAGCACGAAGGCCAGGGGAGCAAACGGG
rnacentral:rRNA from 1 species